UACGGGAGGCAGCAGUGGGGAAUAUUGCACAAUGGGCGAAAGCCUGAUGCAGCUAUGCCGCGUGUAUGAAGAAGGCCUUAGGGUUGUAAAGUACUUUCAUCGGGGAGGAAAAACAAAACUAAUAAUUUUAUUUCUUGACGUUACCCGAAAAAGAAGCACCGGCUAACUCCGUGCCAGCAGCCGCGGUAAUACGGAGGGUGCUAGCGUUAAUCAGAAUUACUGGGCGUAAAGAGCACGUAGGUGGUUUUUUUAAAGUCAGAUGUGAAAUUCCCUGGGCUUAACCUAGGAACUGCAUUUUGAAACUGAAAUACUAGAGUAUCGUAGAGGGAGGUAGAAUUCUAGGUGUAGCGGUGAAAUGCGUAGAUAUCUGGAGGAAUACCUGUGGCGAAAGCGGCCUCCUAAACGAAUACUGACACUGAGGUGCGAAAGCGUGGGGAGCAAACAGGGAUUAGAUACC
rnacentral:rRNA from 1 species